rnacentral:rRNA from 1 species
UAUAUAGGUAACGUGCCCUAGAGAGGGGAGUAACAUUUGGUAACGAAUGCUAAUACCCCACUAUGCCUUUAAGUUCUUAAGACUGCAAGGGAAAGUAUUUAUUAGCUCUAGGAUCGGCCUGUACGGUAUCAGUUUGUUGGUGAGGUAAUGGCUCACCAAGACUAUGACGCCUAACUGGUUUGAGAGGAUGAUCAGUCACACUGGAACUGAGACACGGCCCAAACUCCUACGGGAGGCAGCAGUGGGGAAUCUUGCACAAUGGAGGAAACUCUGAUGCAGCGAUGCCGCGUGAGUGAAGAA